AUAGGGAGAGAUAAUAGAGGCCAAGGAGACAGACUUCCCAAGUCAUAGGGAGAGAUAAUAGAGGCCAAGGAGACAGACUUCCCAAGUCAUAGGGAGAGAUAAUAGAAGCCAAGGAGACAGACUUCCCAAGCCAUAGGGAGAGGUAAUAGAGGCCUAGGAGACAGACUUCCCAAGCCAUAGGGAGAGGUAAUAGAGGCCUAGGAGACAGACUUCCCAAGCCAUAAGGAGAGGUAAUAGAGGCCUAGGAGACAGACUUCCCAAGCCAUAGGGAGAGAUAAUAGAGGCCUAGGAGAGACUUCCCAAGCCAUAGGGAGAGAUAAUAGAGGCCUAGGAGAGACUUCCCAAGCCAUAGGGAGAGGUAAUAGAGGCCUAGGAGAGACUUCCCAAGCCAUAGGGAGAGGUAAUAGGGGCCUAGGGAACAGACGACACUAAUCCUCAGCAUG